GAGCCAUUCCACCUCUACAUUAGGCUGCUGCUGUCUCGUGAUGGUGGAUGGAUAGGAAGACAAGUUAGGGUCUGGAUUUCUUUUUCUCCUUGGGGGCUUAAUUCUAGGUUUUGAACAUGUAAAAUACUUGUAUGGCUCAAAAGUCAAAACCCAAUGCAAAGGUAUUUUCAUCCCCUCCCCACUUCUUACCGCACCCCACAGAGCUCUAUGCUCAUCAUUUUUGUGGGUUCCCAGGUUCGUCGUGCCCUGUUUCCGUCUGCAGAAUUAAAGGAAGAUGUUCAGACACCAUCGCCUGGCCGUUCAUACACAAAACAGCUCGCGGUGUGUGCUGCCCCACCUCCUGCCACUUCACUAAUGGCCGCCCAUUACCCAUUUAUUGACUCUCAGCUCCAAACCUCCCUGUCCUGCCCUCGCUGUGUGAGGACAAGGCUGAACUCUGUGUCAUUACCAGCUGGCCAGAGGUGCCCUUCAACCCAGGUCUCUUCGCCAACCAGGCUGAAAUCCUUUUGAGCAACCACUACACCAGCUCCGAGGUCAGGGUCUUUGGUGCCCCGAAGGUUCUGAAGAACUUGGAGGUAUCGUGAAGACCCUGUUUCCCUAGCUGUGCAGCUGCAAGGUCACUAGACAGAUAAACUCAAGUUGCAAAACACGUUUUCCUUGAAAACCCCAGGCCUCCAUUCUGCUUGCUGUGGCAGCUGGAACCACAGGUGCUCCUUGGCAGGGCCACCAUACCCUCCAGUACCAGCCCCUUACCUCAUGCCUCUCAGGCAGAUUUGGAGCAUCUGCCUGACCAGGUAGGCCCGCAAGCCUGUGGCCCCUGGAAAAGAUAUAAUAAAUGCUGUUAGCUUCUGAUUUGC